ANUAAAANUCGUAACAAGGUUUCCGUAGGUGAACCUGCGGAAGGAUCAUUA
rnacentral:rRNA from 1 species